CAAUAGCGUAUAUUAAAGUUGUUGCAGUUAGAACGCUCGUAGUCGGAUUUCGGGGCGGGUCGACCGGUCUGCCGAUGGGUACGCACUGGCCGACGCGUCUUUUUUGCCGGAGACCGUCCCUACUCUUAACUGAGCGGGGUCGGGAGACGGCACUUUUACUUUGAAAAAAUCAGAGUGUUUCAAGCAGGCAGCUCGCUCUUGCAUGGAUUAGCAUGGGAUAAUGAAAUAGGACUUUGGUGCUAUUUUGUUGGUUUCGAACACCGAAGUAAUGAUGAGAAGGGACAGUCAGGGGCACUCGUAUUCCGCCGAGAGAGGUGAAAUUCUCAGACCAGCGGAAGACGAACCACUGCGAAAGCAUUUGCCAGGGAUGUUUNCACUG
rnacentral:rRNA from 1 species